CCCGCCCGCCGCCGGUCGGUCCCGCCGGUCGGUCCUGCGGCCCCGCCCCCCGCGCGGUCGAGGCCCGGCCCCGCCCCGCAGGCCGCAGGGGGUUGCGGUGGCGCGUUCAGGCUUGCGGGGCGCUGCUUUGUCGCCGGGGGGGCUUGCUGCUGCCGAGCCUGGGCUCGUAUUCUGUUGAGUCGAAAGUGAAAUUUUACGUCGGCGACGUUGCAGCUCCUGCCUCCCCCACGUACUCUGGAAUUUUGACGGGAUAUGCCCUUCCCCUCCCACCUCCUCAUCAAGGAAACUACUGAUUCCUUAAGAUUUAACUCUGGCACCAUCUGAAAGCUUUCCCUGAAAUUCAGCUUGAACUUAACCCUGAGAUCAAGAGUCACAUGCUCCACUGAGUGAGCCAGCCAGAUGCCCUACUACCUGGAAUAGUUUUAUAGCCUGGUUGCUAGAAGAGACUUAGUGAAACAAGUAUGCUUUUGAAGGAAUGGAUUCAUCCUGCUCCUGGGAGCAGGUUUCUCUUUGCAUCAGAAAGCUUUGCAAAGGAGCCAGCUGCACCAAGUGAGCCCUGAAAUUCCCAGAUGAGAAACACUGAAGCACAGAGAAGUUAAGCGUCCUACCUGAAGUAAGAUACCUAGAGUGCAAACAGAGAGCGGCAGGCAUAGGAAGAAGGAGAAGCAGAAGCAGGCUCCCGCUGAGCAAGGAGCCUGAUGAAGGGCUCCAUCCCAGAACCUUGGGAUCAUGACCUGGGCUGAAGGCAGUGGCCUAACUAACUGAGCCACCCAGGCUCCCCCUUUUCCAUGUUUUUUGAUUAGGUUUCUUAUCAAAAUUUUCUUAGGAUUUCUUUUUUUUUUUUUAAGAUUUUAUUUAUUUAUUCAUGGAAGACACAGGGAGAGAGAGAGGCAAAGACACAGGCAGAGGG